rnacentral:rRNA from 1 species
AUUAAUAUUAAUAUAUUAACAUCGCGUCCGGGAGAGUAUAAAUAAAGAACCUACCUUUCGUUUCAGAAUAAAAUAAAUACUGGUAAACUUACUUCGGCGUGAAGUAAAUAAUGAAGAUAGAUUAUCGAUGAAAGAUGGGCUUUAUCCGUAUUAGCUAUUGAGUAGUGUAAAGGACUACUUAGGCGAAGAUGCGUAGCUGGUAUGAAAGUACGUCCAGCCUCAAGUGCACUGAAACACGGGCACUACCCACAAUGUGGGGCAGCAGUAAUGAAUAUUUUCCAAUGGGAGAAAUCCUGAGAAAGCUACUAAGGAUAAUUAUGGUAUCUUAUAAAUAUGAAUCAAGAUACGUUGAUAUAAUCAAGAAAUAGAAUCUAUAGUGAAGGUUUUAUUUUAGGAAGGGGCGGCUAAUUCAGGUGCCAGAAGCAUCGGUUAGACCUGGGCCUCGAGUGUUACUCUAUAACUUAAGGUGUAAAGGAUGUGUAGGUUGACUUAUAAGUUCUAAGUGAAAUUUUUGAUUUAGGAUUGAAAGGGUUUUAGAAAACUGUAAGUCUAGAGUUUAGGAGAGGAUUGUGGAACGACUGAGGUAUCGAUAAAAUGAGUAGAUCUCAGUAUGAACACCAAAAGCGAAGGCAACAAUCUGGCCAUAAACUGACGCUGAGACAUGAAAGCUUAGGGAGCGAAAAGGAUUUGAUACCCUUGUAGUCUAAGCCGUAAACGAUGUAGAUUCGGUGUGAGAUAGUGUAUUUCGUGCCCAAGGUAACCCGUUAAAUCUACCACCUGAAUACUACGAUCGCAAGAUUAAAAUUCAAAUUAAUAGAGCGUUAGUAAAAUCGAGGGAGGAUCAUGUAGCUUAAUUCGACAAUCCGCGAGAAAUCUUACUUUUUCUAGUGUAAAGCUUAUGCUUUAUUCAGGUCGUGCAUGGCUGUCGUCAAUUCGUGUUUUGAGAUGUCUGAUUAAUUUCGUUAAACGAAUGCAACCCUUAGCUUAUGUUACUUUCAUGAGCAACUGCUAUUGUAAAAUAGAGGAAGGUGGGGAUAACGUCAAGUCUUUAUGCGCUUUAUGAAAAAGGCUGCAUAUGUGAUACAAUGGAUCAUACAAUAGGAGACUAUUUAGUAAUAAAAUGUUAAUCUUUAAAAUGGUUCGAAGUUUGGAUUGGUGACUGAAAAGCGUCUCCAUGAAAUAGGAUUCCUUAGUAAUCGAGUAUUAGAUCGGCUCGGUGAAUUGUAAAUUACUUUGCCACUAACUGCCUGUCACUACCGCAAAUGU